ACUCCCUCAUCCCAACCCCACUCUAUAGUCACAAUAAAUGUAGAGCCAGUCUCUUUUCCCUGUUCUCUCAAGCCAAUUUCAGACUAUUUGGGAACCUGUCUCGCGGUCCAUUGGAAGGUCCAGUAUGUUAGCAGGUGGAUCUGACUGUGUAUUGGUGUUUGGGGACCAGCAUCUGUUUGGAAGGGAAGCCAAUAAUGGGGAUUCCGUCCAAUAGAUAAGAAUGUUCGUCAACUGGCAGCUUUUUUUGCCUGGCUCAAGCCUCCGGAACUGAUGGCAAUAAAGAUCAGUGAAGAUUUCUGGCCUCAUUUUACCUCUGAGAAAGGAAUCAGAUUGCAUGAACAGGCUUAAAUGUCUCAGCAGACUCAAAAUGGGCCAUGAAAAUUAUGUUGGAUUUGACAAAGGAGGCAAGAACAUACAUCGGAGUCAAGACAGUCUCUUCAAUAAACGGUGUUGGGAAAAUUGGACAGACACAUGCAAAAAAAUGAA